rnacentral:rRNA from 1 species
GUCCAGACUCCUACGGGAGGCAGCAGUGGGGAAUAUUGGGCAAUGGGCGCAAGCCUGACCCAGCAAUGCCGCGUGAAGGAAGAAGGCUUUCGGGUUGUAAACUUCUUUGACAGGGGAAGAGCAGAAGACGGUACCCUGAAAACAAGCCACGGCUAACUACGUGCCAGCAGCCGCGGUAAUACGUAGGGGGCGAGCGUUAUCCGGAAUUACUGGGUGUAAAGGGAGCGUAGACGGCGAGGUAAGCCUGAAGUGGAAGCCCGCGGCCCAACCGCGGAACUGCUUUGGGAACUGUUUUGCUGGAGUAUGGGAGGGGUAAGCGGAAUUCCUGGUGUAGCGGUGAAAUGCGUAGAUAUCAGGAGGAACACCGGGGGCGAAGGCGGCUUACUGGACCAUAACUGACGUUGAGGCUCGAAAGCGUGGGGAGCGAACAGGAUUAGAUACCCUUGUAC